rnacentral:ribozyme from 12 species
AACAAGAAAAAGAAAUCCACGGGGGAAGAAAAAAAGGAGAGAUGGAAACUUUCGGUGGACCCUUUUUUGUUUUCCUUGUUUUUGU